rnacentral:rRNA from 1 species
AUUGAACGCUUGCGGCAUGCCUUACACAUGCAAGUCGAACGGUAACGGGUCCUUCGGGAUGCCGACGAGUGGCGAACGGGUGAGUAAUAUAUCGGAACGUGCCCAGUAGUGGGGGAUAACUGCUCGAAAGAGCAGCUAAUACCGCAUACGACCGGAGGGUGAAAGGGGGGGAUCGCAAGACCGCCCGCUAUUGGAGCGGCAGAUAUCAGAUUAGCUAGUUGGGGGGGUAAAGGCCUACCAAGGCAACGAUCUGUAGUUGGUCUGAGAGGACGACCAGCCUCACUGGGACUGAGACACGGCCCAGACUCCUACGGGAGGCAGCAGUGGGGAAUUUUGGACAAUGGGCGCAAGCCUGAUCCAGCAAUGCCGCGUGCGGGAAGAAGGCCUUCGGGUUGUAAACUGCUUUUGUCAGGGAAGAAAUCUUCUGGGCUAAUACCCCGGGAGGAUGACGGUACCUGAAGAAUAAGCACCGGCUAACUACGUGCCAGCCGCCGCAGUAA